UUAUCGAAAUUCAAAAUAGCAUUAUCGAAAAUUCAAAAAGGCCGGAGAAGAAGAGAUGAAGCAGAAAAGAAAGGUCUACGACGAUAGUUCUCUGGAGAGUUGCAGAUCUCCAGCAGAAAGUGUUCAAAAAGAGGCAAUUGCAUAAGUACGGAGCAUUAAGUCCAGUCCAGUCCAGACACAGUAAAUCCAACAACAAAAGUAAUACUUUUCAUUCUCCAGAGACUGAGCAUGGCAGAGAACAUGUUCUGAUAAUAAGCCGCAGAUGCACUGUCCUCAACAAAAGCACCAUCAGAAUCUGAUACCAGUAAAAGCCACUAAAUGGACUCUGUUUCAUCAAAGAGGUUCUAGAGAUCAGCUUUUCAUAUACUUAUUGUUCUGUAGUGACGUGUCUUUGGCCUCUACCAACCUUUCACUUUGCUUAUCCCCAACAAUUUCUGGUGCGUGAAAGCUCUUUUGCUGGCACAAAGAAAGCUCUUUUACUGGCACAAAUGAUGGCUCAAAGACACAUCUGCAACACCCUCCAAGUUUUGACUAUGGAAUUUAAGCAAACAUCAACAUCACA
rnacentral:misc_RNA from 1 species